CUAGGGACAGAAAAAGAAAAAGAAAAAGAAGGUUUUUACUCCCCCAUUCCACCAUUUCAUUGUUAAGACACAUUUCCCCAUGGCGAUCAUGAGACUUAAGGGAAAUGAAAGUAGCUCCUUAUCAUAAAGAGACUGAGAAUUCCUAUUCUGGAUUCUCAAAACAGCCAUGAAAGAUAUGCUGUACAGAAUUUACUCUCCCAAUUGCCAGAGAUAGCAAGUCUUAGGAAAGUUAAGAGACUUGUCCAUGGUAUCUUAACUAAUGUGGUUUGGGAGUAGGUACCACUAAGAGGAUAUUUAUUAGAGGAAAGAACCCACACAUCUUAGAAUAGGGUCAUUUCUGGUCAUGGAGAAAUUAUUCCAUUCGAAUCCAGGUUUCCAGGGAAGAGUGAAUGUGUAGCACAUGUGUGGAUGGGAUAGGCCCACACAAGGAAAUGAGUGCCGCAUGAUGCUUCCCAGAGAUGCUCUCUGGCCUAAACUGGUAAGAAGUUGGUCUGGAUUGAAGGCACUAGACAUAUCAUGAGAUUAAACUCUCCACAUGUCAACUCAUCAUGGUCAUGAUGGCCUCUUAGUCUGGAAAUGCCUCUGGCUGUAGGGAUGACCUCAGUUGGAGACUCGCGAGAAGGACCAAGGCACCUUCUGCAAGGUGCUACCAGCCAGUUCCCAGAGGCAUCCCAGCAGAGCUCAGUGGGCUUCAUGCAGUUGGUGCCAGCAUUACCCUCCUUUCCCCGAGGGCAAGUCUGUGUAGAGCAUUUGUCUUGGCACCUUUGCUCCAUUGGACCUCCAUCCCCUCUGAGAUGUCUUAAGAGGACACGUGGCCCCACUCGACAUCACUCCACUGAACUCUCUCUAAUCUCCUUGCACUGAGUCAGGAGCUUCGCACAAGGAAGGGAAAUUAAGAUCGUGUGUACACACUGAUCCUAACUCUGAAGGAAGCAAUCAUCUAGGACCACCCUGCUGGGUGCAACAGCGCGAAAUAGUGGGUGAGGGGACAACCAGGCCACCUGAAGAAUGUCUUGAAUGAUGGGAUCCUUGGUGACGGGACGGACUAGCAUGCUCCAGAAUAACAACAGAUGGCAAGAGGCAGGAGAUCCAACUAAAGAGAAGAGGGUCUAAUGGCAAGUUGCUGACCCAGCUUCUGGCACAGCUGCCCUCUUGCACAGAAUGGGAACAAGUAACCUUUUGUGCGUCUCUAUACCAUCAGCCUCUACUCCUGGAAACAAGUUAGACCUUUCUAUCUGGGAAAAUCUGGCCACUGUUCCGUACAGGCUGCUGUGGAAGGAGCCAUCCCACGUGCCAGGACGAUCCGAGAGAUGAAACCCUGCCUGGGAAACAAGAGCAACAUGGGGAGUGGGCCACAGCACUGUCUCAGUCACGUGGCCUUGGACGUGUCCUUCGGGACCUCUCUUUCUCCAUCUAUCAAACAAGGGGGCUCUAAAGACUUUCCCUUUUCAACGAUCUUGCCUUUACCUGGAGUAAACGCUGCGGCCAUGGGAGAGGGGGCAGGGUCCUUGUUCUUCUGGGUCUUCCACCAGGCCCAAGGCUUCCCCUAGCCCUGCUACCCUGGAGGGCUACCCUUAGCCCUUUAAAGAAUCUUCCCUUCCCUCUUAAGGAUUGAUCAUGCUCAGAAAUCCAGCUGAUUUGGGGGACCAACAUGAAAAAAAAAAAAA